UGUGAUUUAAUGGGUAAUAUUGCCUUUAAUUUAAUUUUAUUUAAAUAUUAAAAAAAUUGAGUAAUGAAAGUGUGACAAAUAAAUUAUAUAAUAAAAAAGUUAAUUAAAAUAAAUUAGAAACAGACUUUAAUAACCUAGCUACACAUGGCCUUAAGAACAUGGGAGAAGUUAAAGCCAUAUUGCGCUUUACUGCUACCAUAAACGCCCCAGUUAAUAUGCGCCAAUUAAUAUAUCAUACGCGUGACACCCCCAAAAUAGGUAUACCUCAUCCAUCUGAGUCACGAAAUACAUGGUACAUAAUUUAAAUACAACUUAAUUAUACAACAUGAGCUAAUAUUUUUAACACGAAUAUUGUCUUCUAGACAAUAUCCAAACUCAAAUAGAGUCUUCAUUACAAUUAUUAUCACACUAUUUUAUAAAAUAGUGAUGACUACUAUAGCCACCAUUUCGGACCGUCACUCCAUUCCCCGACUAGUCCCAGCUACGUUCUCAUUUCUUGAAGAGAACAACGAAAGCAAAAGGGUGAGCUCAACUAACCCAGUAAGAAAUAUUAUGACUAAGAUAAUGCAGAAUAAAUUAUCGUUAGCCUUCAACAGUGUUAAACUGAUAGACUACAAUAAACAACAAGUUUAACUGGAGCGAAACAAGCAAUACAUUAGAAGAGUCAAGUAGAGCAUGAUAUCUACUAUCUUCUAUGAUUUAAAAAGUUUAUCACCAAUUUUAUCGCUGAGACUCAGCUCAAUAAAUAAUCCUCAUCACCGAAUUAUCCAUGCACUACGGGCCAAAUGUAAGACCCCAACUUUUAUGAAUAAUGAAUAAUUUUCUCGAAAUAUAUUUUUGAAUAUUAUGGUGUGGAUUUGAUAUAAUGUUAUAGUUGUGGGUAAUAGUUAUAAAUUUUGCAAAGUAAGCAAGUGGUUAUAUAAUAUUCGAUUGGUCGGGGAAUAUUCGUUUUAACAGGGAAUAUUGUACGACGGCACAAUCAUUGGUGGACCCCACAACAGAAGUAUUGUCGUAGUUAGAAAACGACAAAAUUAUCUUUUCAUAAAAAUAACGGCGGAGGUGUUACCGUUAAAACUGUUGAACUACCUGGUAGUAAAAGUACAAUAAUACGCGUGGUUGCAUAGUAAUGCACGGUAUUGAUUAUUGAUGCUUACGUGAGAAGUCACUCAGUUAUACUCAAUUAUUGCUACAGUAAUUGGUGCAUCAUAUCUCUUAUAUUAUUGAGUCAAUUAUUAUUACAGUAUCAUCUGCAGAAUAUGAUAUAUUAUUAAAUCAAUAAUUGAGAUGGCAAAGUUAUUCAUAUUAUUAUUUGCAAUAUUGAUAAUGUCUAGAAGUUCUGUCAAGGAGAGGUUUGGUCACCUAAUUGCGCGCCAAUAAGAAGAAAUCCUUAUCGGAAAGCCCCAUCUUUCCUGGGAACGACCUGGUUGUUAAAUAUUGUGAAUUAUAAUAUUAAUGAUGAAUAAAUUCGUGUUGAUUAAAGAUGAAUUUUAUAGUUCCACUGUGUUGGACUUAUUUGUGUUAGUAUAAUUGAUGUCUAGAGGUUAUAUUGUUCAAUCGAGUAUUCGGGGCACUUUUUGUGUCGGAGUACUAUUCACGAGUUACUAUUCAUGAGUUACUAUUCAUGAGUUACUAUUCAUGAGUUACUAUUCAUGAGUUACUAUUCACAGGGUACUAUUCACCCGUAAGAUAUAUUUCUUUUCGGUCCAAAUUAUUUUUGGGUACAAUAUUAUUCCAUGAGGAGAUGUGCUAAUUUUUCAGACCGUUGGUUGAAGAUAUAAUAGUAAAUCAAUAUGGACCGCUGGUGGAAAGUUGUAAUAGUAAAUCAAUAUGGAUCGCUGGUUUAAAGUUUUAAUAGUAAAUCGGUAUGGACCGUUCAUAAAUUAGUUACUAUUCAGUCCAUUCUCCUAUAAAUAGAAGCUCAUUCCUUCAUUAUUUCUUACGAAUUCACUGAAACUCUAGAGAGAGAAACUAUAGAGAGAAAGAAGAAAAGUAUUCUGCUACUUCAUUACUUCAGUAUUC
rnacentral:lncRNA from 1 species